AUAAGCGGAGGAAAAGAAACCAACAGGGAUUGCCCUAGUAACGGCGAGUGAAGCGGCAACAGCUCAAAUUUGAAAUCUGGCCCUUUCAGGGUCCGAGUUGUAAUUUGCAGAGGGUGCUUUGGCGUUGGUUGUGGUCUAAGUUCCUUGGAACAGGACGUCACAGAGGGUGAGAAUCCCGUACGUGGCCGCCAACCUUCGCCGUGUAAAGCCCCUUCGACGAGUCGAGUUGUUUGGGAAUGCAGCUCUAAAUGGGAGGUAAAUUCCUUCUAAAGCUAAAUAUUGGCCAGAGACCGAUAGCGCACAAGUAGAGUGAUCGAAAGAUGAAAAGCACUUUGGAAAGAGAGUCAAAAAGCACGUGAAAUUGUUGAAAGGGAAGCGCUUGCAGCCAGACUUGCCUGCGGAUGCUCAACCGGGCUUUUGCCCGGUGCACUCUUCCGCAGGCAGGCCAGCAUCAGUUCGGGCGGGUGGAUAAAGGCCUGCUAAAUGUACCUCUCCUCGGGGAGGACUUAUAGGGUAGGCGUCAUACACCCAGCCUGGACUGAGGUCCGCGCAUCUGCUAGGAUGCUGGCGUAAUGGCUGUAAGCGGCCCGUCUUGAAACACGGACCAAGGAGUCUAACAUCUAUGCGAGUGUUUGGGUGUCAAGCCCGGGCGCGUAAUGAAAGUGAACGGAGGUGGGAACCCCUCGGGGCGCACCAUCGACCGAUCCUGAUGUCUUCGGAUGGAUUUGAGUAAGAGCAUAGCUGUUGGGACCCGAAAGAUGGUGAACUAUGCCUGAAUAGGGUGAAGCCAGAGGAAACUCUGGUGGAGGCUCGCAGCGGUUCUGACGUGCAAAUCGAUCGUCAAAUUUGGGCAUAGGGGCGAAAGACUAAUCGAACCAUCUAGUAGCUGGUUCCUGCCGAAGUUUCCCCUCAGGAAACCCAA
rnacentral:rRNA from 1 species